CAAAGAAGUAAAACAGCAACAGCAACACUCGGUUCAAGAGCAGUCCAACAUCCUUCAUACAGGAUUUCAUGAUCCCUUGGCGUCAAAGAUUUACCGUAUUUGCACCUGCUUCCUAAACAUGGAUUUUAGGCGGGGGAGGGAGUAGCGCAUGAAAAGCCAGCAGUGUUCCUCAGCCUGGCUUUUUCACUCUGUUAAAUACACAUAAAGAUGCUCAGUGUUGGGUAAGAGAGAGGACCUUCGUCCACGUCCGACUAUAGACUGCUUUAGGAUGUGUCUUGAGGGAUCUUUUCUGGAGCUUGUCGAUUAUUUUGCCUGUUGAGAGAGUGUGAGUGGCAAAUGCUUACCUCCUAUACAUUCCACUUUAGGCUCCUGCCACUGACCAUCAGGUCCACUCUUGCAAGUAAAAGGAAGAUGAUAGUUGCAGGGUACAUCAUUCCACUUGCCAUCCUCAUGC